AUUGCUGUAGGAGGGUAGUUGCCCCCAGGUUGGUGGUUAUCUGAGAAAUGGGUCUGGGUGGAGCAACGUCAAGUUCAUUAUUACAUUUUUAAAUUGCAGGUGACUCAUUCAUCACUUCCAUGCUUGGAAGAUAAAGCUCAUCAGUCCAUUAACAGAAUAAAAAUUUAGCAUCAUAGUUUUGGGCUGUGAUUUCAAGACAGGGUGGGAUGAUUCUGCGACUCUCUCUGCAUGUAUUCUCACAUUUUUCCGUAUAAGAACCAUGAUCCUUAUUUUCCCAAUGUAGUCCUCGAAUCGCUAGUUGUUGGCGUUGCUGCUGUUGUUUUUUAACUCCCUCUUGCUGUGGCUUCCAGGGGGAAGUUAGCAUCCACGUUGGGUGCCAGGUGCGUCAAGUGUUGUUGACACUUGUGACUGGUAUGGCUGUCUUCCCUUAUCCGCUGUGGUAAUUAAGCACACACCCCUAAUUGUGUUAUGUUUUCUAGAAGCUUGGAAGGAACUUCACUUCUGGAUUUCCUGACUCUGCAAAAUUUGAAGAAAAUCUGGAAGGAACUAUUCCAUCCGUCUUUGCUUCAUGUGGUUUAGUUCAGUUUUCUGGUUAUUAGUGGGGUUGAUCACUUUCUAUAAAUCUCGACAAUUUGGAAUUCUCCGAGUACAUGGAAGACAUCCUUCUGCUGUCUCCUUGCCUCCAUUGCCCCUGUGGAGAGGUCAGUGUGAAUCACUCUCUCACUCCUUUGAAGAAAUACAAGAUGCCCACGUGGAGAACUCUCAUUUAUUCACUAGAACUCAACUGAGAAACAGACUCUAUGUAAUUUAAAAAUAAGCGACUUAUUUAAUAAAACUGAGGACGACUGGAGGAGUUACGUCAAGUAGAAGACCUUCCAUACCUUUCAC